rnacentral:tRNA from 4 species
CGGGGCGUGGCGCAGUCUGGUAGCGCACCUCGUUCGGGACGAGGGGGUCGGAGGUUCAAAUCCUCUCGCCCCGACCA